rnacentral:rRNA from 1 species
UACGGAGGGAGCUAGCGUUGUUCGGAAUUACUGGGCGUAAAGCGCACGUAGGCGGCUUUGUAAGUUAGAGGUGAAAGCCUGGGGCUCAACCCCAGAAUUGCCUUUAAGACUGCAUCGCCUGAAUCCAGGAGAGGUGAGUGGAAUUCCGAGUGUAGAGGUGAAAUUCGUAGAUAUUCGGAAGAACACCAGUGGCGAAGGCGGCUCACUGGACUGGUAUUGACGCUGAGGUGCGAAAGCGUGGGGAGCAAACAGG